CCUACGGGAGGCAGCAGUAGGGAAUCUUCCACAAUGGACGAAAGUCUGAUGGAGCAACGCCGCGUGAGUGAUGAAGGUUUUCGGAUCGUAAAACUCUGUUGUAAGGGAAGAACAAGUACGAGAGGUAAUGCUCGUACCUUGACGGUACCUUGCGAGAAAGCCACGGCUAACUACGUGCCAGCAGCCGCGGUAAUACGUAGGUGGCAAGCGUUGUCCGGAAUUAUUGGGCGUAAAGCGCGCGCAGGCGGCCUUUUAAGUCUGAUGUGAAAGCCCCCGGCUCAACCGGGGAGGGUCAUUGGAAACUGGAAGGCUUGAGUACAGAAGAGAAGAGUGGAAUUCCAUGUGUAGCGGUGAAAUGCGUAGAGAUGUGGAGGAACACCAGUGGCGAAGGCGACUCUUUGGUCUGUAACUGACGCUGAGGCGCGAAAGCGUGGGGAGCAAACAGGAUUAGAUACCCUGGUAGUCCACGCCGUAAACGAUGAGUGCUAGGUGUUGGGGGUUUCCGCCCCUCAGUGCUGAAGCUAACGCAUUAAGCACUCCGCCUGGGGAGUACGGCCGCAAGGCUUGAAACUCAAAGGAAUUGACGG
rnacentral:rRNA from 1 species